GCGGCUGUAGCUCAGUGGAUAGAGUAUUGGCCUCCGAAGCCAAGGGUCGUGGGUUCGAUCCCCGCCAGCCGCG
rfam:Hydrogenophaga sp. H7 H7_scaffold1, whole genome shotgun sequence.